rnacentral:rRNA from 2 species
GGGUUGUGAGGUUAAGCGACUAAGCGUACACGGUGGAUGCCCUGGCAGUCAGAGGCGAUGAAGGACGUGCUAAUCUGCGAUAAGCGUCGGUAAGGUGAUAUGAACCGUUAUAACCGGCGAUUUCCGAAUGGGGAAACCCAGUGUGAUUCGUCACACUAUCAUUAACUGAAUCCAUAGGUUAAUGAGGCGAACCGGGGGAACUGAAACAUCUAAGUACCCCGAGGAAAAGAAAUCAACCGAGAUUCCCCCAGUAGCGGCGAGCGAACGGGGAGCAGCCCAGAGCCUGAAUCAGUGUGUGUGUUAGUGGAAGCGUCUGGAAAGGCGCGCGAUACAGGGUGACAGCCCCGUACACAAAAAUGCACAUGCUGUGAGCUCGAUGAGUAGGGCGGGACACGUGGUAUCCUGUCUGAAUAUGGGGGGACCAUCCUCCAAGGCUAAAUACUCCUGACUGACCGAUAGUGAACCAGUACCGUGAGGGAAAGGCGAAAAGAACCCCGGCGAGGGGAGUGAAAAAGAACCUGAAACCGUGUACGUACAAGCAGUGGGAGCACGCUUAGGCGUGUGACUGCGUACCUUUUGUAUAAUGGGUCAGCGACUUAUAUUCUGUAGCAAGGUUAACCGAAUAGGGGAGCCGAAGGGAAACCGAGUCUUAACUGGGCGUUAAGUUGCAGGGUAUAGACCCGAAACCCGGUGAUCUAGCCAUGGGCAGGUUGAAGGUUGGGUAACACUAACUGGAGGACCGAACCGACUAAUGUUGAAAAAUUAGCGGAUGACUUGUGGCUGGGGGUGAAAGGCCAAUCAAACCGGGAGAUAGCUGGUUCUCCCCGAAAGCUAUUUAGGUAGCGCCUCGUGAAUUCAUCUCCGGGGGUAGAGCACUGUUUCGGCAAGGGGGUCAUCCCGACUUACCAACCCGAUGCAAACUGCGAAUACCGGAGAAUGUUAUCACGGGAGACACACGGCGGGUGCUAACGUCCGUCGUGAAGAGGGAAACAACCCAGACCGCCAGCUAAGGUCCCAAAGUCAUGGUUAAGUGGGAAACGAUGUGGGAAGGCCCAGACAGCCAGGAUGUUGGCUUAGAAGCAGCCAUCAUUUAAAGAAAGCGUAAUAGCUCACUGGUCGAGUCGGCCUGCGCGGAAGAUGUAACGGGGCUAAACCAUGCACCGAAGCUGCGGCAGCGACGCUGAUGCGUUGUUGGGUAGGGGAGCGUUCUGUAAGCCUGCGAAGGUGUGCUGUGAGGCAUGCUGGAGGUAUCAGAAGUGCGAAUGCUGACAUAAGUAACGAUAAAGCGGGUGAAAAGCCCGCUCGCCGGAAGACCAAGGGUUCCUGUCCAACGUUAAUCGGGGCAGGGUGAGUCGACCCCUAAGGCGAGGCCGAAAGGCGUAGUCGAUGGGAAACAGGUUAAUAUUCCUGUACUUGGUGUUACUGCGAAGGGGGGACGGAGAAGGCUAUGUUGGCCGGGCGACGGUUGUCCCGGUUUAAGCGUGUAGGCUGGUUUUCCAGGCAAAUCCGGAAAAUCAAGGCUGAGGCGUGAUGACGAGGCACUACGGUGCUGAAGCAACAAAUGCCCUGCUUCCAGGAAAAGCCUCUAAGCAUCAGGUAACAUCAAAUCGUACCCCAAACCGACACAGGUGGUCAGGUAGAGAAUACCAAGGCGCUUGAGAGAACUCGGGUGAAGGAACUAGGCAAAAUGGUGCCGUAACUUCGGGAGAAGGCACGCUGAUAUGUAGGUGAAGCGACUUGCUCGUGGAGCUGAAAUCAGUCGAAGAUACCAGCUGGCUGCAACUGUUUAUUAAAAACACAGCACUGUGCAAACACGAAAGUGGACGUAUACGGUGUGACGCCUGCCCGGUGCCGGAAGGUUAAUUGAUGGGGUCAGCGCAAGCGAAGCUCUUGAUCGAAGCCCCGGUAAACGGCGGCCGUAACUAUAACGGUCCUAAGGUAGCGAAAUUCCUUGUCGGGUAAGUUCCGACCUGCACGAAUGGCGUAAUGAUGGCCAGGCUGUCUCCACCCGAGACUCAGUGAAAUUGAACUCGCUGUGAAGAUGCAGUGUACCCGCGGCAAGACGGAAAGACCCCGUGAACCUUUACUAUAGCUUGACACUGAACAUUGAGCCUUGAUGUGUAGGAUAGGUGGGAGGCUUUGAAGUGUGGACGCCAGUCUGCAUGGAGCCGACCUUGAAAUACCACCCUUUAAUGUUUGAUGUUCUAACGUUGACCCGUAAUCCGGGUUGCGGACAGUGUCUGGUGGGUAGUUUGACUGGGGCGGUCUCCUCCUAAAGAGUAACGGAGGAGCACGAAGGUUGGCUAAUCCUGGUCGGACAUCAGGAGGUUAGUGCAAUGGCAUAAGCCAGCUUGACUGCGAGCGUGACGGCGCGAGCAGGUGCGAAAGCAGGUCAUAGUGAUCCGGUGGUUCUGAAUGGAAGGGCCAUCGCUCAACGGAUAAAAGGUACUCCGGGGAUAACAGGCUGAUACCGCCCAAGAGUUCAUAUCGACGGCGGUGUUUGGCACCUCGAUGUCGGCUCAUCACAUCCUGGGGCUGAAGUAGGUCCCAAGGGUAUGGCUGUUCGCCAUUUAAAGUGGUACGCGAGCUGGGUUUAGAACGUCGUGAGACAGUUCGGUCCCUAUCUGCCGUGGGCGCUGGAGAACUGAGGGGGGCUGCUCCUAGUACGAGAGGACCGGAGUGGACGCAUCACUGGUGUUCGGGUUGUCAUGCCAAUGGCACUGCCCGGUAGCUAAAUGCGGAAGAGAUAAGUGCUGAAAGCAUCUAAGCACGAAACUUGCCCCGAGAUGAGUUCUCCCUGACUCCUUGAGAGUCCUGAAGGAACGUUGAAGACGACGACGUUGAUAGGCCGGGUGUGUAAGCGCAGCGAUGCGUUGAGCUAACCGGUACUAAUGAACCGUGAGGCUUAACCUUACAACGCCGAAGCUGUU